CGUCAAUUAAUGCAUUUUAUCAAUUAACACAGUAUAUUAUUGGGACAAUAAAUGAAUGAAGAGAUAAACGUCUUUUAUCAAGCAUGUAUUAUAACAUUUUCGUGUUUUGUUAUUUCGUUUCAUUAUCAAAUAACUGACAAUUUAUCGCCCUUUGAAUCAACACGCCAUUUGUAAACAUGAAAGGUCGUGAGAAAGGAAACAUUUAAACAGUAAUUUGACGAUUAAUUUAAAAGGGAUAAUGAAUGGAAUUGCGCGAUUUACAGGCAUGGACUGAUGUGUACUUGGACGGUGUGUAAGUCUGAUAUCUGCCUUGUUCAAAUGAAGAGUAAAUGAAAUUGUAAGACUAGCAUAAAUCCUGGUCAUGCAUAGUUAAUAAAGACUGCGGAGUGCCAUGAAAAACCCUAUGGCAACAUGACUAAGCAGGACAGGCAACAAAAGUUAUUUAAUAAAGUUAAGCGUUAACUAAUUCAUACAUGCAAAAUACAUAUGAAUCAGCAGCAAAUAUUUUAGAUAAUAAGGAAAUAAAAUAAUUUUUGUUUGACUGUAAAAACCUCCAGCUGACAUAAUCAUACAGCGUGAGGAAAACAAUGAUUUUUUUGUUUGACUAAUUUACAUUUAUAUAUUCAUUAAUCAUUUUACAGUCUGAUUAAUCUGAGUGAAGUUAUAAUUGGAAUGAGAUUUUAAACAAGUCUUAUUUCAUUCCGUUAUUAAUUCUCAUCAUGUACAAUAUAACAAUAUACACUGAGUACAUCUAGAAACGCAACACUUGGGUCUACAGUCAAUAUUUUUCAAACCGACGAUGCUUUGCACAGGUAAAUGCAAAUGGUGCAUUUACACCUUUUAAACUGUGUGCUUGUGCAAACGUGAAUUUGGACCCUCGGUUUAAUUCAAAUCUACAUGUAUCAGGAAAUUAUAAAGGAAAGUAAACUGGUCGAAAAUGUGCUUCCGUGGUAAGUCUGAAGUAAUUAGGUCCUAAUUUCCCUCUUUUGCGCAAUUCUUGUAGAACGAGAGCUGUAAUCACUUUUUUUCACUAUUCAAAAACGUUCUGCAUGAAAUGAGAGGAUUUUUAUGUUUAUAUACCCCAUACGGCAAGUUUCGCAAAUCGAACCCGAAAAGUAAGGGUUUAUUGUGCGGACCAGAGCAAAUAUGCGCCAUUUUUAUUGUAACAGACUUCAACUGACUGGCAUUUCACUAGGAACUCUUCAACUCUCUAUUUUCUUUUCAUUUUUUCGUAAAUAUGAUAGAAAAUUCAUGAAAAAUAGCAGUAUGAAAAAGUGAUGAACUAUAAAGAUACGCAAAAACAACUUGAAGUUGUCGUUUUUUUCAUGAAACAAGGAAGGAUUUGAAUUACUCACCUAUGUGAUAAAGCACUUGAUUUUCGUUAAUCAUAUUUUGAUACUUCAUUUGCUAUCUUAGUGUUUGUUUUUGAUCGUGAAGAACUUUAUAAUUCAGAUCGUUUACAUGAAUUCCGGAAUAUA
rnacentral:lncRNA from 1 species